UUAAGUAGGCAGCAUUAUAACUCAUUGCGGAACAGCUUUGUAGUAGCUUUUCAUAAAUCCAAUUCCUUUAAUUAUUCAUAAGACCAAUUUUUGGUUAAUUUUCUUGUUCGCUAAGAACUACCUUAAUUGUGGACCCCGUUGAAUCAACCUUCUUUUUAUAUUGAUCAACGAACGAGCAAUUCGAUUAGGACUAGCAUAUCCUUGGUUUUCUUGCGUGUUCAAUUACUAAAAACCCUGUUUUCUGUUUGUUAAUAUAUAUUUUUUUACUCUCCCUCUCUUAGGUAUACAGGAUGGCCCAGACGUUUCAGGAGAAACAACAGAGUCGAAGGAUUAAAAUGAGCACUGGAAACUUUUUUUCUAGAAUGUGGAAUGCCGUCGUGUUCGGCUUCGGUGCGGCCAUUGGUGCCUCUGUCGCCAAUGCAGCUCUUGGAGCCUGCUGCGGUUAAAAGGGAGGUGGGAAUGGAGCGAGGAAGCCAUUCUUCUUUAUAAAUAAUUUGCUCCCUUUGUCCUCCUUAUUAGUUUAUUGGAGGACGUUUACUAGAUGAUUACUUUUUAAUUACGAAACGACUUAUUUAUAUAAUCGGUACAUGUUUUCCUUCCUGUUCGCAUUCAUGCAUGUUCCUCGUGAAGUUCAUUUUAUUAUGAUGAUUAUUGCUCUCACGUUUGUCUUUUAUUGAUUUCCUUAAAUUUAUUUAUUCGUUUUUUUUCUUUGAUCUUUUUCACUUUAGCGAGUG